GAGAGGAGCUUCUCCACAUUGGCCUCACAAGCCUGCAUCCAGGCCUGCAGGCUGUCGACACUGCUCUGAAACUGUUGAUACCGGCCUAGGAGCAUGUUCAGAGCUGUGAAGAUUUACUGAGUUGUAUGACAAGCCGCCAAAGAAAUGCACACCAGGUUACAGGCUAAGGCAGAGACUAGGAGGUACAAAAAAUGUUCCUUUUGGUGAGGUCAGAGAUGUUGGCAAAAUGCAUAAUACAGUCUCUUGCUGUACGGCUGAAGUCACCACUUCUUCCAGCUCCUUCUGGGCCAUCCGUGUCCGUUCCUGGAGAGCCUCAUAUUGUUCCUUAGCCUGAUGAAGCUUCUCCCGAAGAGCUGUCAACUCGUGAGGACUCAGCUUGGCCUGGUUCUCUUCCAGGAACCCUUCGAUGUCUUUAACAACACUGGCAAACGAGGUGGCCUGAUUCUGAAUGUCGUCCUGUAAAUCCUUAACACA